GGGGGUUUGGGUGAGUGGUUUAAACCAGCAGUCUUGAAAACUGCCGAGGUCUUACGGCCUCCGUGAGUUCGAAUCUCACAGCCCCCGCCA
rnacentral:tRNA from 1 species